GCAGCAGCCGCGGGAAUACGAAGGGGGCUAGCGUUGCUCGGAAUCACUGGGCGUAAAGGGUGCGUAGGCGGGUUUCUAAGUCAGGGGUGAAAUCCUGGAGCUCAACUCCAGAACUGCCCUUGAUACUGGAAGUCUUGAGUAUGGGAGAGGUGAGUGGAACUGCGAGUGUAGAGGUGAAAUUCGUAGAUAUUCGCAAGAACACCAGUGGCGAAGGCGGCUCACUGGCCCAUAACUGACGCUGAGGCACGAAAGCGUGGGGAGCAAACAGGAUUAGAGACCCCGGUAGUCCCUGUCUCUUAUAA
rnacentral:rRNA from 1 species